AGUCCUUUGGGUAAAUACCCAGUAAUGGGAUGGCUGGGUCAAAUGGUAUUUCUAAUUCUAGAUAGAAUGUUUCCUCUUAUAACUCAUAGUGAAUAUGACUGGACAAUGAAACUAUUUUGUAAUUUCUUUCCUGAAAGAUAAAGGCGUUAGAACAUAGAAUCUUUCAUUGAUUCUACAGAAUCUUAAGACUCCUUCAGAGAUGGCAGUCAUUCGUACCGUGCUGAACAUCAUGUUGUCACGGUCAGAAUCAGAACUAAAUUGAUUAAGGUUCUGAAACAGUUUGGCACUCUUGGGCACUUAUUCUGAUAAGAAAGCUGAUGAGACAGGGUAAUGAAAAGAGGCUGCAAGAAAUGACCAUUCAUGCAUUCAGCCAACAUUUAGGCCACCCUCCUGUAUUCCAGGCACUGUACGUGGCACUGAGAAUGCAAAGCAAAACGAGUCAUGGUCUACUGGCGGGAGCCUUCUCAGCGGAGAAAAGAUCAACAAGAAAAGUGCCUGCUGGAGACCUCUCCUAGGGCAUAAACCAAUAUAGAGGUGGGGCAGCUACGUCAGCCUGAGGUGUCCUUAGGCAGAACAGAAAGUGAGAAUCAGAGCAGUAUCUCAUUUCUGAACACCUGGAUUGUAGCUUUCCCUGGACUGACUGUCAAAGGAGGUGGUUUUAAAAAGCAAGCCAAACAGGUUUCCGUCCUUUAGGAAGACCCUGGAACGUGCCAGUUGAUUCUGACAAUUUCUCAUGAACAGAAACACCUAGGAAGGGAGAACUGCUUUAAAUCAUCUAGGAACUUCAUAUAAAAUUUAAUUCCAGUUUCAACUAGUUGUGGAGCAUUUGAUCCAAAAUAAAAUGAAAGUCCUCUCUGAAGCUGUAGAGGAGGCUCAAGAAUCAGAACAACCUGAAGUUCUUUAAGCUGUCAGUUGAAAGACUAGGUAAAAAACAAAUAUCAUUUAGUGUGAUCAUUAAUGCACAUGAGUCAUUAUUCCAUGUGGUUGCUGUCGACUGGUCAGGGGCACUUCAAGCCCUAAUCUGUACUUUGUCCUGUCUCUCUACACCCCGUUCUACUUUUUCAGCUUGCCUGUAAUAUGUGAAUGGAAAUAAAAUAAUCAAGCUUGUUAGAAUUGUGUUCAUAAUGACACAAAAGACCUGAGAGAACGUAAGAACAUAUAGAACAUCCAAAAUAAGACAUAUUUUUGGUUGGUUUAAAACCUUUUUGUUUGUUUCAUUUUCUUCUGUGCUUAAUGUAUAGUUACUAUUAUUUCAUAUCCUUUGACUUACAGGUUUGACUGCAAUGCAGUGUGAAUAUCGCACAUGGGACCAUUUGUCAUACUGUCAGAUGGCAAUACAUAGAUGGAUAGAAUUUUGCUGUUUGAUCAAAGCUGUGCCAUCGGAAACUUGUUUUCCCAAGUAUGGGUACAUUCUCCUCUUUUCCUGAGUGGAGAAACCUAGAUCUGAGCAAAAAGCAUGAAUCAAUACACCUUGGGAGGCAGGGUGUGAAAUAUUUGAUGCCAUUUCCUUUGCUUGUAAAUUGUUCAUUUCAUUUGAAUAUAAAUAUAAAAGGACUUCUACCAAGAACAUGAAACUAACAUUUUGCCAAGCUAAAUUUUAAUGAAUUUAUUUGGACGUUUUUAUAAUCACUUAAUAUUUUCAGUUCAUGUGCUAAUAUUAACUCUACUUACUGGAGAGAAAGAAAUGGUAUUCAAUAUGAUAACUGCCUUGUUACUGCAGAAAUGUAGAAGUUUGGCAUUUUAAGUAUCAAAUAUUUUAAGUCAAAAAAUUACUAGUGUCCCACAGCACAGAGAGAGAAUAUAUGUUUGCUUGUGUCCCUUUAAUCUUUCCCCUGUAAAAUUAAGCCUAGGGGCUUUACACUAUUUUAAAUUUUCAAAAUUAGGUCAUGUAAAUGUUGUGUCAGAUUUCCAAUUCAUAAGUAGUAUACUUAUGAAUACUGAAUAGUGAACAUAGGGUACAUUUAUAUCCUACUGAUUGCUUAGCUGUGGACCAGAGGUAAACAGAGAAUGAAUGGUAUUUUCACAGGUUAGUAAACUGUUUUUCUAUGAUCUCUUAUAUACAAGUGUGAUUAACAUUUUUUCCCCCUUCCUGAACUAAUAUAGGAACAUAUGGUCUAAUAAGUGUGAGUUCAUUUGGGGAGGGCAGGAUAGAAUGCUUGAAAUUAGGACUGACCCAAAAAAUGCCUUGGUCUCAGUAUUUGUGGAUUACGAGGAGGAAGGGCUGAAAAGGAACCUUAAAAGCAUUAGAAUGGUAGAGUACAGAUUAGCAGCAACACUCAGGGCUCCAUCAUGAAGAGAGUGAGAUGAGUUCCCAUGAUUAAUGCAGCAGGGGCUCUAAUUGAAAGCCCUCUACCUAGGAAAUGAUUUAAAUCCUUUUAUCCUAGCUGGAUUGUGAACAUUUUAUUUACUUUGAGGAAGUUGUUUAACACUUUUUGUAGAUUGCAUCAAUAUUUAGAGUAAUGUAAAUACAUUUUCCCUUUGGCUAUUUUACAAGGACAUGGAGGAUUAAUUAAAUUUAAAAGAAAGUAGUGCAGUUAACUCCCAGGAGACAGAGGGAGAUGUUUAUCAUUUUUCUCAUCAUUCAUUCCUUAUUCAUUCAUUUUACAAAUGUUUGUUGAAUAGUAAUUAUAAUGAAGAUACUAUACCAGCU
rnacentral:lncRNA from 1 species